GUGGCUCUCUGUUGGGCGAAACAGGUGAAAUAGGGGACCGUGAGGUCCCCUCAUAAGGUUGGCCGAUCGACAGCCGGCCGGCACGGAAAUGGUCGACGAUCGGAGGAGAGUGCACCACCAUCAAAAGGAAUCUGAAAUCGUGGCUGGCGGCAACCACCGACAUCCCAAAACUAAAAAAAAUCAAACUUUUAUUUUGACAAAAUCCAGCGACCCCGAUCGCUGGCGAGCAUGCACAUUGGCAUGGAAAGGAAGGG
rnacentral:lncRNA from 1 species